AGCCUCCAUUAGAGCAUGGCUGUCCUGGUGCUGCUCCUCUGCCUGCUGACCUUUCCAAGCUGUGUCCUGUCCCAGGUGCAGCUUAAAGAGUCAGGACCUGGCCUGGUGCAGCCCUCACAGACCCUGUCCAUCACAUGCAUUGUCUCUGGGUUCUCAUUAACUGACUAUGGUGUGCACUGGGUUCGCCAACCUCCAGGGAAGGGUCUGGAGUGGAUGGGAGCAAUAUGGUGGAAUGGAAACAUAGAUUAUAAUUCAGCUCUCAAAUCCAGACUGAGCAUCAGCAGGGACACCUCCAAGAGCCAAGUUUUCUUAAAACUGAACAGUCUGCAAACUGAUGACACAGCCACUUACUAAUGUGCCA